AAGCUAUAUUGCAAACUACAGUCACACUGCCAAGCAAAUGGAAAGCAGCACUUAGCUGAAGAGAUGGUGCAGAAACGUGGGCAUGGGGCUUUGGAUAUCCAGAACCCAAGAAAAGCACAGGUGGGCGUGGCACUGUGUAGGCGCGGCGCUAGAUGGGCAUGGCACUGCUCAGGCACAGCACCAGCAUUUGUGCAGAAAUAACUCUGAAUUUGUGGUUCUAAAGACAAGCGAUAAAAAAAAAAAGAAAGAAAGAAAGAAAGAAAAAGGACGAAGCUCACCAAAUUGCCUUCUAAAAGUAUAUUAUUUUCUGUUUCACUUCGUUUGAGUUUUUGUCUAAGUAUGGUGGAAAAAUAAAAUCUGAAAGUGGGAAAAAG
rnacentral:lncRNA from 1 species